rnacentral:rRNA from 1 species
UAGGGGGUGUAGCAAUACAUCACCGGCGGACGGGUGCGUAACGCGUGGGAAUGUACCUAUUGGUUCGGAACAACACAGGGAAACUUGUGCUAAUACCGAAUGUGCCCGAAAGGGGAAAGAUUUAUCGCCAAUGGAUCAGCCCGCGUUCGAUUAGCUAGUUGGUGAGGUAAUGGCUCACCAAGGCGACGAUCGAUAGCUGUUCUGAGAGGAAGAUCAGCCACACUGGGACUGAGACACGGCCCAGACUCCUACGGGAGGCAGCAGUUGGGAAUCUUGGACAAUGGGGGAAACCCUGAUCCAGCCAUGCCGCGUGAGUGAUGAAGGCCUUCGGGUUGUAAAACUCUUUCGCGCACGACGAUAAUGACGGUAGUGCGAGAAGAAGCUCCGGCUAACUUCGUG